AUCCUUUAUCAAGCAGAUACGCCAGAAAGGUGCUGCCAUGGACCAAGACGAUGAAGCAGCCACAGACGACGACAAGCAGGAUCCUUGCCGUAAGGGCAGGAGUCCGGGUUCUUCCCCCAGAGGUUUGCGCCCUCUACAUCCGGGUCCUCCCACCGGGCAUCGUCGUUUCCGGCGGCGCCUGCUUUCCCGCCACAGCGGACGCGGAGGUGGCCUCUCGGGAGGAGCUGGCUUCCCGCGCUGUGGUGUAGAGGUUGGACGCGUCUGGGGGAGGCGUUGACGGCAAGAACAGGACAUCUGAAAGCAAGAAGUGAGACUUCCAUUAUGGCUUUGGGGACUGCUGAUAGUUGGUGCAGGAAAUGAAUUCCAUGAGUACUUCCUUCCUGUCAGGACUGAGAACAAGCAGCCCUAGAGAGCUGCCUCUUCAACUCGACAUUGUGGAGAAGUCACACUGAACACCAUCGUUUACCAAAUUGUGCUUCGGAACAUUUUGUCUCCCUGAGAAGCAGUUUCUUAGGAGAAUUCUGCAAAUGGAUGAGAUCCUAGCUAAGACCAUAUGGACCCAAGUAUACUCUGAAAUCAAGCCCCCUCAAGAGAAGUGGCUACUGGUAUAAAGGCUUUCCAAGUGAGAAUUUUUUUCUUAUGUUUUAGAGUCUGCCCUAGAGAACUGAUUCUGCAUUGAAGUUAGAAGAAUGUCAUCUUAAUUGGGAAACUGUGGGCCCCACCAUAAACUAUUUAUAAUCCUGAUUUAUCUCUGAGCUGCUGGAGGUGGUGGUGGUGGGGGGAAGUUCCCUUGGAUAGUUUGACUAUCUUGGUUCACAA